UUUUUUAGACAGAAAAACUUGUUACACAUUCGAUUCCUGAUAAAAUCUUUGCACUGGAUAAAAUGAUUAAGGAUGAGUUUUUAGUGGUGAAAGAUGUUGUGCAACAAAAUAUUGAACACUUUGAAACUCUUAAUUCAAAUUCAAAUCACAACGAUUCUUUCAAUGACGGUAUCAUUAUGAACUCAAAAAAAAGAAAAAUUGACGAUGAAGAUCAAGAAAGUAAG
rnacentral:lncRNA from 1 species